rnacentral:misc_RNA from 1 species
GAUGAGUUAAUUAUUUCUCAAAAAUACAAUUAUAACCUAUUGGGGGUUAUUGUGUACUGCUCCCCUUAGUUGCAAGACUGCAAGUGAUACAACAAUUAACUAAAUGCAAACAAGACACACCCUUGAGCAACUGCCCAGCUUAAAUUGAGGGCAGAGAAGAAUAGAAAGGUAAAGAGAGAGAAAAGAUCAACAUAAUGAGUUAUGGAACAAAACUAGCUGGAACAGCACGACGUUUUUUGCUUUGACAUGUCGGUCCCAUUGGCAAGGCUAACGCGAUUGAAAGAUAAUUCUGCCUUGUAUGAAUCAGAGUUGAGUACUUUUCUGCUCACAUUUUUGUAUAUCUCACGGAUGACAAUUUCAAAGGCUGUUUUCACAUUAGUAGAGUCGAGAGCCGAUGUUUCAAUGAAGAAUAAUCCUUCCUCUUCUGCAAGGUUUUUUCCAUCCUCUACACUCACAUCUCUGAUAUUCUCCAAGUCACACUUGUUCCCAACAAGCAUUCUCGCAACUGUGGUAUCACAGUGGGUGUUGAGUUCAUCAAGCCAUCGUUUGAUAUUUUCGAAAGUAGUGCUUCUACUGAUAUCAUAAACAAUAAGAGCUCCAACAGCGCCUCUAUAAUAAGCAGAAGUGACAGCCCGAAAACG